AAGAAAUACCAGUUCAUCUAGUUUUACAACUUCUCCGAUAAGGCCAAAUAUGGGGAAAAUGACUGUGCCAUUUUGUGAUUCGCUGUAUGUGAACAAGGCAGAGAGUAUAAAAAAAAGGGGAAAGGAGUUUUCCAAGAGAACAGACCUCUUGGGCAGAGAUUUCACAUCAGCCGACACCAUUGUUCGCCGAACUUACACAGCAACAUCACCAACGCUGCCUGAGUCGCCAGAGUUUCGAAGCAGCUGCAGAGCCAGAUAAUCCGCCGCCCCACUGAGACAUCCAGAGCAUCACAACGCCAAGAGACAUACAAGAUGGCUACUGGUGGUAUUGUUUGUCCUUUUGAAUACCCUGAAGGAGCUAAGGAACAAAGAAAGGAAAAGAUCAGAGAGAAAACACUGCGUGGCAAUAAAGACAUUCUGUUUUAUGAUACAGAUGCUGAAGGUGAAAAAUGCAACCUCAUGUUGUGUAGCAUUCGUGUAAGAGAAUGGCUGAAUGCAAUUCAGCAAAAAUAUCCUGAACUCAAAGAAGCGCGAGAGAACGAUAAAAUUAUCCUAAAGUGCAAGGAAAGUACCAUAACUUUAUAUCCUACUGUGACGGUUGUGGUAACAGGCGAACUAAUGGAGAGCUUUGAGAGACAUUUUCCAGAAAUGAAACGAAUGGCCCUGACACCCUCCUUAUUAGAGGCAUUGGCCAAAUUGGACAUAAACAGUACUGGCUCUAGGCAUUUUGAAUACUCUGAAGGAUCUACUGAUAAACAAAAGGAAAGGGUCAGAGAGGAAACACUGCGUAACAAUAAAGACACUCUGCAUCAUGAUACCCAUUUGAUGGGUGAAAUAUGCAACCUCAAGUUCUAUAGCACUCAUGUAAUAGAAUGGCUGAAUGCAAUGAAGAAACAAUAUCCUGCAUUUGAGGAAAUUCAAACUGACCGUGUUCAGAACCUCAAGUCCGAUAUAGGUACCAUAACUUCAUACCCUAAAGUAACGGUUGUGGUAGAAGGCCAACUAAUGGAGAGGUUUGAGGAAGAUUUUCCACAAAUGAGACAAAGGGCCAAGUCUAAUGAGGAAGGACGUCCGGAUGAGCCAGAAGGUGAGGGCACUCUCCACACCCCACCAAACCCAGCUGAUGAGAAAUAUCCAUCUGAUGAAAAAGUAAGCACAGAAAAAAAGAAAGGGGAAAAAAAACAAAAAAAACUACAAAAUGGAUCAUUAUAAAUAACUGAUUAUUUAAGCUUCAUCGUGCCAUUUUAAUUCAUGAAUAGGUAUCUG